rnacentral:pre_miRNA from 1 species
AGCCUCCUGAAUCCGUUCCGAGAUUCCGUCAGACACUUGGCCGUCAGGACUGACGGGACUCCUAAGGACAGUGGAACG